CUGAAGGAAGGAGCUUGCUCUUUCCGGAUGAGUUGCGAACGGGUGAGUAACGCGUAGGUAACCUGCCUGGUAGCGGGGGGUAACUAUUGGAAACGAUAGCUAAUACCGCAUAACAGUAGAUGUUGCAUGACAUCUGCUUGAAAGGUGCAAUUGCACCACUACCAGAUGGACCUGCGUUGUAUUAGCUAGUUGGUGAGGUAACGGCUCACCAAGGCGACGAUACAUAGCCGACCUGAGAGGGUGAUCGGCCACACUGGGACUGAGACACGGCCCAGACUCCUACGGGAGGCAGCAGUAGGGAAUCUUCGGCAAUGGACGGAAGUCUGACCGAGCAACGCCGCGUGAGUGAAGAAGGUUUUCGGAUCGUAAAGCUCUGUUGUAAGAGAAGAACGAGUGUGAGAGUGGAAAGUUCACACUGUGACGGUAUCUUACCAGAAAGGGACGGCUAACUACGUGCCAGCAGCCGCGGUAAUACGUAGGUCCCGAGCGUUAUCCGGAUUUAUUGGGCGUAAAGCGAGCGCAGGCGGUUAGAUAAGUCUGAAGUUAAAGGCUGUGGCUUAACCAUAGUACGCUUUGGAAACUGUUUAACUUGAGUGCAAGAGGGGAGAGUGGAAUUCCAUGUGUAGCGGUGAAAUGCGUAGAUAUAUGGAGGAACACCGGUGGCGAAAGCGGCUCU
rnacentral:rRNA from 1 species